UCUCUCUGAAUCUGCGAACGGCUCCGCAAACCAGUUGUAAACUAUAGCAAGCAAUCCUCGGCUGGGCCCCGGCCCGGUCGGGGUAACAUGGAUAACCCUGGUAAUUCUGAGGCUAAUACAAGAACGUAAUCCCUGGCUGACCGGCGACGGAAGGCUGGGGGACGUGCAAUGAUUUUCGUAAGAUUAACCGGGAAAGGGUGCACGUUCGGACCGCGCUAAAAACGAAUCUCGGUGAGCCCUCACGGGUGAGCCUUGGCUCGAGCGGCUCUAGCGAUGUGCUUCUGACCUAUCAACUAGAUGGCGGCGUAAGGGACAUGCUAUGGUUACAACGGGUACAGAGGAUUAGGGUUCGAUCCUGGAGAGUGGGCCUGAGAGAUUGUUAG
rnacentral:rRNA from 1 species